AAGUGAAUAGUGAAAUCUGGCGGCUCAACCGUACAGGCUAUUAUUCAAACUCACAAACUCGAGAAUGGUAGAGGUAACUGGAAUUUCUAGUGUAGGAGUGAAAUCCGUAGAUAUUAGAAGGAACACCAAUGGCGUAGGCAGGUUACUGGACCAUUUUCUGACACUGAGGCACGGAAGCGUAGGGAGCAAAACGGGGAUUAGAUACCCCGGUAGUCUACGCCGUAAACGAUGGAUACUA
rnacentral:rRNA from 1 species